CCCCAGGUACUCACGAUCAGGGCAAGCCGACUCAGGUCAAGAGCCGAUGGGAAUGCCGCCUGCCUCAGUGCUGAGGUUGCCGACCAGAACCAGCACAUCAGGCAAUGCCACGGGGCUGAAUGGAGAACAUUUACUCUUCAUUUGCGGCCCUGAAGAUGGAGCUCUCUUAUCAUGUGCCCAAACACUUCUGCCAAGGACCUACUCACAGUCACCCAGAAGCUGGUUCCAGGCUGGCUGGCCCCUGAGCACUGGUCUGCAGCAGCUCUGCCUGGCGGUCGCACACCAUCUUGCCCAUUAGCGUUUCCCGGCCUCCUUCCUUGAGACGAUGAUGCCCGUCGAGGGAAGGCGAGAGCAUCCUUUGGAGCCCAGAUGCUGAGAUGGUACUCUCUGGGAUGGGAUUGAUUCGUACGAAUAAAUUCAAAUUUAAGAAUUUGAGAACCACUCACUUAUUUCCACGUGGGGUUGGGCCCGCUGGCAUCCCCUCCUCGUGGAAUGGAAAGGGGCCCCUGAAGCCGCACCUAUUAGUGAGGAUGUAGGGACAAGUGAAAGGUGGCUGUGGGUGGGUGGGCAGGCAUUUUCUUCAGUGGCGUAGCCGCUGGUGAGUUACUCACGAUCCUGCUUAUGACCCCUCACUCAUGGUCCUAACAGUAACGAGUAACUUCAGUGAAGCUCUUUGGGCCACAAAAAAAAAAAAAAAGGAAAGAAAAGAAAAAAGAAAAAAAUCCUUGAAAGUGGACGGGUGAUUGGCUGGGGAACGGAAGCCGACCAGCAAGAGUGAGAGGAGGGCCAAAGAGGGUGAGGGGAGAUGAUGACAGAAAUACAUGAUACCUGCGCGACUAAUCUAUGCUAACGAAAACGUUUAAGAUGAGUAAAAUGACCAGUGGCUGAGACCUGACUAUGAAGAUCUGAGCGCCGCGGCCGCGCUCAUCGUGGGACCCGAUCAGCUGCAGAGAACGGCUACUCUGGCUGCCGCCCCCCAGCGUCCUCUCCUUCAUUGUCGGGGGCAGGCGGUGUGGGACAGGGGCCAUCCUUGACUGUUGGGUGUGAGCUCUUCCUACGAACGGAUCCUGAGGGCAGCAGCUGCGGUGGACACCAAGUGCCUGGCCCUGUAUGGGUCAGCUCCUCCCUUGAGUUCCGUUUCAGGGUUCAGAAAUGGAACGAGGACACAGAAGGGGUCACACGCUGUGGCCAGAGAAGUGUUGUUGUGAGGCUGCAAGGCAGCCUGGGCCUUGCCUGAAGCUUGCUUAGCACUGGCCGUGUGUCACGUAUCCGGCGAGGGGCCAGCAUGAAGAGUGAGGGCCCAGACUCUCCAUCCUCCCUAGAAACCAGGAUGCCGUAGGCUUCGCCUCCCCAGCGCUUCACAAACAGAACCAUGGAUGGAGACUGUGACUUCCAGUUUAAGGAAUUGUUACUUGUAAUGUGUACUCUUCCCGCCCGCCGCCUGGGUCCUGCUGAGCUGUCUGAACCCCAAAAUAACACACAGGACACUAUAUUAA